rnacentral:rRNA from 1 species
UACGAAGGGGGCUAGCGUUUGCUCGGAAUCACUGGGCGUAAAGCGCACGUAGGCGGAUUGCUAAGUCAGGGGUGAAAUCCUGGAGCUCAACUCCAGAACUGCCCUUGAUACUGGCGGUCUCGAGUCCGGGAGAGGUGAGUGGAACUGCGAGUGUAGAGGUGAAAUUCGUAGAUAUUCGCAAGAACACCAGUGGCGAAGGCGGCUCACUGGCCCGGUACUGACGCUGAGGUGCGAAAGCGUGGGGAGCAAACAGG